rnacentral:misc_RNA from 1 species
UGUGGGAGCUGGCUUGCCUGCGAUGACGGUGUGCCAGUCACAUCAAUAGUGACUGUUGAAUCGCUAUCGCAGGCAAGCCAGCUCCCACA